GGGGGGGGGGGGGGGGGGGGGGGGGGGGGGGGGGGCGGGGGGGGGGGGGGGGGUUGGGGGGUGGUGGGGCGGGGGAGGGGUGAGUGAUGGGUGGGAGUGUGCGGGGUGGUGGGGGGUGACGUUCCGAGAGGAACGCGGAUACCGCAUGGGUCGUACGGGAGAAGGCAGGGGACCUUCGGGCCUUGCGCUAUCAGAUGAGCCUAGGUCGGAUUAGCUAGUUGGUGAGGUAAUGGCUCACCAAGGCGACUAUCCGUCACUGGUCUGAGAGGAUGAUCAGUCACACUGGAACUGAGACACGGUCCAGACUCCUACGGGAGGCAGCAGUGGGGAAUAUUGGACAAAGGGCGAAAGCCUGAUCCAGCCAUGCCGCGUGUGUGAAGAAGGUCUUCGGAUUGUAAAGCACUUUAAGUUGGGAGGAAGGGCAGUAAGCUAAUACCUUGCUGUUUUGACGUUACCGACAGAAUAAGCACCGGCUAACUUCGUG
rnacentral:rRNA from 1 species